AAAAUUGCAUACGUCUGUUUCACACCAGAUCGGAGGGGACCAAGGGGCCAGGUAGCUACAGCAUCUCUGGCUGCCUGAGAACCUUCCUCCCAUCAGCAGCACAGCGACCAACUUGGGCAAGGAAAGAAAACCUUGGACAAAAAGAGAAUAGUGUCUCCUCCAACAUAACAUCACCUCUUUGAGGCAGAACCUGCUUCCAUCCAGAACUGUAAUUCGUUGUGUGGGGCACCGAGCCCUAGGACAAUAGCAGCAGCUACUGUCCAAGAAGACACAGCCAAGACUUAAAGGUAAAGUAGGUCUUAUUUGUGUGUAUACUGAUAAAACACUUUGAAAAUCUGUUGAAAGUUAGGGAUCACAGGAAAACAUACAUACGAAUAUAGUACACAAUUUUAGGGGGCUCCUAGACCUUCUGAAGUCCAUC
rnacentral:lncRNA from 1 species